AGUCCGAUCGUAUAACGGUCAGUACACAAGAUUUUGAAAGAGAAGGACUGCUCGACUGCCUCAUUGGCCAGUCGACCUCGUGUUCACUUCGUUCUUGUAAUCUGGGUUCGAUUCCCAGUCGGACUG